rnacentral:rRNA from 1 species
GACGAACGCUGGCGGCGUGCCUAAUACAUGCAAGUAGAACGCUGAAGGAGGAGCUUGCUUCUCUGGAUGAGUUGCGAACGGGUGAGUAACGCGUAGGUAACCUGCCUGGUAGCGGGGGAUAACUAUUGGAAACGAUAGCUAAUACCGCAUAAUAGUAGAUGUUGCAUGACAUUUGCUUAAAAGGUGCAAUUGCAUCACUACCAGAUGGACCUGCGUUGUAUUAGCUAGUUGGUGGGGUAACGGCUCACCAAGGCGACGAUACAUAGCCGACCUGAGAAGGUGAUAGGCCCACCUGGGAAUGAGACACGGCCCAGACUCCUACGGGAGGCAGCAGUAGGGAAUCUUCGGCAAUGGACGGAAGUCUGACCGAGCAACGCCGCGGGAGUGAAGAAGGUUUUCGGAUCGUAAAGCUCUGUUGUAAGAGAAGAACGAGUGUGAGAGUGGAAAGUUCACACUGUGACGGUAUCUUACCAGAAAGGGACGGCUAACUACGUG